rnacentral:rRNA from 1 species
GAUGAACGCUGGCGGCGUGCUUAACACAUGCAAGUCGAACGGAGCUAUGACACGGAGUCUUCGGACGAAGUGCUGUAGCUUAGUGGCGGACGGGUGAGUAACACGUGAGCAACCUACCUUUUGCAGGGGAAUAACUCUGGGAAACCAGAGCUAAUACCGCAUGCCGUGCGCUUGGGGCAUCCCAGGUGCAUGAAAGGAGCAAUCCGGCAGAAGAUGGGCUCGCGUCCGAUUAGGUAGUUGGAGAGGUAAUGGCUCCCCAAGCCGACGAUCGGUAGCCGGACUGAGAGGUCGAUCGGCCACAUUGGGACUGAGACACGGCCCAGACUCCUACGGGAGGCAGCAGUGGGGAAUAUUGGGCAAUGGGCGGAAGCCUGACCCAGCGACGCCGCGUGAAGGAGGAAGGCUUUCGAGUUGUAAACUUCUUUGGGGAGGGACGAAGAUGACGGUACCUCCAGAACAAGCCACGGCUAACUACGUG